CGUGAAUGGACUAACGUGUCCCAUCAGGGCCAAGGACCUUAAAUAUGUGCUGCCAUAUAUUGCAGGGGCCAGAAGCCUGAGAACUACAUUUCCCAGAGUCCCCUGCGGCAGGGUUCCAGGUUACAGUCUGUCAAUCACAGGGGUUCUAGAAGCGCCUAAGAGCCCGGAUUCAAUCCUUCUCUGCUUGAAAUCCUGUUUUCCUGGCUGCACCGUGCCUGAGACAGGACCUGGUAAGGAAGGCACUGGAAGAAGUUGGGGAUGCUGGCAAGCACCUCGUGGUGGCAAGAAGGGGUCGGGCGGACUUUGGAGGAGGUAGCAGGGACGUGCUGAAGCAGCUGACACUCAGCUCAGGUUCAGGAAGCCGCGGAGGAAGGCAUGUUCUCCGGGAGGUCUCCGUGUCCUCCGUCCACACCAAUGCUGAGUGCCAGCCUCAGUGUUCUCGGGGGGCCUCCUACACAGCCGAGAUCUGGGGCUUACGGAGAGCUGAUCCAAUGCCAGGCACAUUAAACCGGUCAUCUCGUCUAAUCCUCACCAAAGCUCCACGGGCACCCAUUUCACAGAUGAGGAAACCGAGGCUCAGAAAGACGAAGGCUGCAGCCAGCAAGUGGCUGAGCCCAGGCUCAACCCCGGUGGAAGCGGUCAGCCUGGAGGAAAGAUGCUGUCUUUGAUCCUUGAGCCAGCUCUGCCCCUGUCCGGUGCACACCCUGACCAUCGCUGGGCCUCAGUUUCCCCCUCUGUAUUUCCGGGCUGUACAGAGGACAGCAAUGAGGAGCCCAGCCUGCCGGCCUUCAGCGUUCCCCAAGACCCAAGAGGGACUCCCGGAGACUUCCCCCCCUCUCCAAGGCACGGGCUGACUCACAUCGCUGUCUGGGGAGGAAGCACAGCCCGGCUGGCGAGGGUCUCGCCACCCAGCAACCUGCCACGGCUCCGGGGGACGGGGGAGUUGAACAUUAACCCCUUGG
rnacentral:lncRNA from 1 species